UACGUAGGGGGCAAGCGUUGUCCGGAUUUAUUGGGCGUAAAGAGCGUGUAGGCGGCCAUACAGGUCAGCUGUGAAAACUCGAGGCUCAACCUCGAGACGUCGGUUGAAACCGUAUGGCUAGAGUCCGGAAGAGGAGAGUGGAAUUCCCGGUGUAGCGGUGAAAUGCGCAGAUAUCGGGAAGAACACCUGUGGCGAAAGCGGCUCACUGGACCAUUACUGACGCUGAGGCACGAAAGCUAGGGGAGCAAACAGG
rnacentral:rRNA from 1 species